CAAUUUUAAUGGCCGAUGUGGUGUGUUUGUGAGUUUAACGGUGUAAAACAAUCCAAAUGCGAUGAAAAUUUUAUAGAAAAUUCUUUUCACUAUUUAGAGUAAGAUCAGUAUAUCUGAUCUUGAAUUUAAAUCUUUUAUCAUCAUUUUUCAUGAGAUUUUUAUUUUCAGCCGUUCAAUUUUAGACUACUUGUUUGAUAGGUAAAUGAUAUCGAAAAAUUAUGAAAUUUAGUUUCUAAAUAUUUUCAAUAGUGUAGAUCAAGUCUAACGGAGCCGAUCGUCGAUUUAGAAGCCGCAUCAUCGAAAACAACUUGGUAGCACGGAGCGCUCCGUGCUACCGAUAGUAUAGUAGCCUAGUUCUAUAUAUAUAUAUAUUGUAUCUUUUGCUUUCGAAAAUAAUUUGAAAGUGCGGCGGCCUCCAUACUUUCGAAAGCAUAGUAAACGAUAUAUGUCUUUCAAUUUUGUAGAAAAGACUAUACAGACUAAUUUUGCAUUUGGAUGAGAAUCGAAACAUUACGAGGGAUAAGAAAAAUUACGUUUGGAUGAUUGCGUUGGAAUAAUAGGAAUAAAAGUAAUUAUGAUUGAAAAAAAAAUAGUUUGCCUAAAUAAUAAGCAUUUAAAUAUUCCUAAAAUAAUAUUUUAGCAAAUUAAUAAAUUAAUUAAUUAGGAAUAUUAUAUGAGAUGAUGAAGAAUCAAUUUUAAUUAUUUAAUUAACUAAUUAGUUAUAAAUAAAAAUUAAUUACUAUUUAAAUACUUAUUAAUUUAACAAGUCAAAUAAUUAAUUAGUUAAUUAUUAAAAAGUUAAUUGCAUUAAUUAAUAAUAUUUUAUAUUAUUUAUAACUUAAUCAGUAAAGGGAUAAGAUAGAAAAUGGCUUAUUAAUUCUAUCUAAAGGUUGGAACUACUAUUCUCUCUUUUUAACGGAUUAUUCUGGAAUUACUCGUUAAGAAGAGAAUAAGAAAUUUUAAUGGCAGCGUUUGGAAGAAUAAGAGGAAUAAAUUCCUUAUU
rnacentral:lncRNA from 1 species